rnacentral:rRNA from 1 species
GAUGAACGCUGGCGGCGUGCCUAAUACAUGCAAGUCGAGCGAACAGACGAGGAGCUUGCUCCUCUGACGUUAGCGGCGGACGGGUGAGUACACGUGGAUAACCUACCUAUAAGACUGGGAUAACUUCGGGAAACCGGAGCUAAUACCGGAUAACAUGUUGAACCGCAUGGUUCAACAGUGAAAGACGGUCUUGCUGUCGCUUAUAGAUGGAUCCGCGCCGCAUUAGCUAGUUGGUAAGGUAACGGCUUACCAAGGCAACGAUGCGUAGCCGACCUGAGAGGGUGAUCGGCAACACUGGAACUGAGACACGGUCCAGACUCCUACGGGAGGCAGCAGUAGGGAAUCUUCCGCAAUGGGCGAAAGCCUGACGGAGCAACGCCGCGUGAGUGAAGAAGGUCUUCGGAUCGUAAAACUCUGUUAUUAGGGAAGAACAAAUGUGUAAGUAACUAUGCACGUCUUGACGGUACCUAAUCAGAAAGCCACGGCUAACUACGUG